GAUGAACGCUGGCGGCGUGCCUAAUACAUGCCAGUCGAGCGAACAGACGAGGAGCUUGCUCCUCUGACGUUAGCGGCGGACGGGUGAGUAACACGUGGAUAACCUACCUAUAAGACUGGGAUAACUUCGGGAAACCGGAGCUAAUACCGGAUAAUAUAUUGAACCGCAUGGUUCAAUAGUGAAAGACUGUUUUGCUGUCACUUAUAGAUGGAUCCGCGCCGCAUUAGCUAGUUGGUAAGGUAACGGCUUACCAAGGCAACGAUGCGUAGCCGACCUGAGAGGGUGAUCGGCCACACUGGAACUGAGACACGGUCCAGACUCCUACGGGAGGCAGCAGUAGGGAAUCUUCCGCAAUGGGCGAAAGCCUGACGGAGCAACGCCGCGUGAGUGAUGAAGGUCUUCGGAUCGUAAAACUCUGUUAUUAGGGAAGAACAAAUGUGUAAGUAACUAUGCACGUCUUGACGGUACCUAAUCAGAAAGCCACGGCUAACUACGUG
rnacentral:rRNA from 1 species